CGGUGGCACGCCAAUUCCUCAUACAAGUAUAUUUAUAUGCGAGCCAAUAGAUAUGACAAGUUCAAGUCAGUCGUCUUUGGAUGAUGAAGUGACAAACGAAUCAUCUACGAUUUUUCCUACUAAUGGCAUGCUCAUAUCAACUGAGGGCUUGGAGCGAGGAGAAAGCUCAAAAGGACGAAAGCGUGUACGUGAAGCAAUAAGAUAUGCUAGCCGUACACCAGAACAAAUCCAAGCAAGGCGAGAACGUGUUAGAGCACGUCGGCAAAAUUUAACACCUGCUGAGAGGGAAAAGAUUAAUGCACAAAGAAGAGAGAAAAGACAACGAAUGGCACUUGAUGAGAGGAAUGCAAGCCAACGAGCACGUAGGCAAAGUUUGACAAUAGAUGAGAGGCAAGAAAUAAAUGCACGCCGGCGAGCACGUAGGCAAAGCCUACCACCUGAAGAGCGGCAAGCACUCCUAGCUCAACAUAAUGCAAGCUAAGCAUCUAAACGAGAUGCCCUCUGCAGGGAUUCUGUUGCACUACAGUGCCCUACAGGUUCAUUGAUGGGACAUCCAUCAUCAAGUUCUUAUGUCUUUAGCCACCCAGGAGAUGAUGAUACUAUCCAGCACAUGGAACUCACAUCGGUGCAAUGUCCAACAUCUACAUCAGUGGACAAUCCAUUAUCACCCCAUGAUGGUUUCGUAUAUUCAGAUUCCCCAAUAGAAAGCUUUGUCGCCGGUGAUGAUGAUUCUCACAUGUCUGAAGAACAAGAUGAUGAGUACUUCGCAUUUGCUGGGAGAGGUGACGAUGAAGACUUGGUAGAUGCCUUUACAACAGACACCAUUGUCCCUGACCUAUAUGAUCGUGUCUACCACAAUAUACCAAAAAGCAAAAGGAAGGCCAAACCAACUCCAAUGCAAAUUUUACAAAGAACAUAGUCUACAAAGAAGUUCUCAGCGUGCAGUUCAAGGUGAGCAGAUGGAUGAUGUGAGAGGCCCAAAACUAAUAUGGUUGGCAUAAAUGUUUUGAGCAAACAACUAAAGAGGAGUUCACAGGGCUUGCAUUUGACGAAGCCACUGUUCGAAGGAUGCUGGCACAUGGCACAUCAUUUUGCCAUAGUAAUCUUGCUUAUGGAGCCCGAUUAUUUUGGUUGUACUUGUAUGUACUCAUGUAUGCAAGUUAUGCACCAAGUGUUUUAUUUUA